AUAAUCUAUCAAAUACCUUUUUCCUCUUCAAAAUUUAGACGAACUCCAGUCGACACCCAACACAGUUUUGAGCCACCGGCACCACACACUUCUUUUCAGAUUUUUCACGCAUCUUCAAAGUCAAAUUGAAGUCUAUUAUACCAAAUCGAAGACAAAGAGAUUCUAGACCUUCGGUGAUAAUAUUUGCUACAAAUAAAGUUUCAGAUCAAUAAUUUUUUUGGAGCAAACUAAGUUAAGAAUUUGAAAUUAAAUGUGUUUCAUAACAUCAU
rnacentral:lncRNA from 1 species